GGGGAUGUUGUGGUGUCAGAAUAGGCCUUAGACAGGGCUUAUAGAGGCUUAGAUAGGCCUGGGUGGGUUAAGAAAUGUGUUUUCUUUAGAUUCACAUGGUGUGUUUUUUCCCUUAGCAGCUGUAUACUUAUGUUAAUUUCCAGUCCAUUCAUUUCCGUUUUGCGUUGUACAAUUUUAACGAAAGCAGCCGUCUGGUAGUGCGAUUUUUUAUAUAGACAAGACACGUUUUCUGUAGCGAUUCUGCAUGGUGUGGUUUUCCCUUAGCAACUGUUUCCUUUACUUAAUUUCCAGUACAUUCAUUUCCGUUUUGCGUCGUACAAUUUUGACGAAAGCAGCCGUUUGGUAGCGCAUUUUUUUACAUAGACAAGACACGUUUUCUAUAGCGAUUCUGCUUGGUGUGGUUUCCCUUAGCAGCUGUAUACUUAUGUUAAUUUCCAGUCCAUUCAUUUCAGUUUUGCGUCGUACAAUUUUAACGAAAGCAGCCGUUUGGUAGUGCAUUUUUUUACAUAGACAAGACAUAUUUUCUAUAGUGAUUCUGCUUGAUGUGUUUUUCCCUUAGCAACUGUUUCCUUGACUUAAUUUCCAGUACAUUCAUUUCCGUUUUGCGUUGUACAAUUUUAACGAAAGCAGCCGUUUGGUAGCGCAUUUUUUUACAUAGACGAGACACAUUUUCUAUAGCGAUUCUGCUUGAUGUGUUUUUCCCUUGGCAACUGUUUCCUUGACUUAAUUUUCAGUUUUGCGUUGUACAGUUUUAAUCAAAGCAGCCGUCUAGUAGAGCAAUUUUUAAUAUGGGCAAGACGCAAGACACAUUUUCUAUUUGUUCUGCUUGGUUUGUUUUUCCCUCAGCAACUGUUUCCUUGACUUAAUUUCCAGUCCAUUCAUUUCCGUUUUGCGUUGUACAAUUUUGACGAAAGCAGCCGUUUGGUAGCGCAUUGUUUUACAUAGACAAGACACGUUUGCUAUAGCGAUUCUGCAUGGUGUGGUUUCCCUUAGCAACUGUUUCCUUGACUUAAUUUCCAGUACAUUCAUUUCAGUUUUGCGUUGUACAAUUUUAAUGAAAGCAGCCGUCAGGUAGCGCAUUUUUUUACAUAGACAAGACAUGUUUUCUAUAGCGAUUCUGGAUGGUGCGUUUUUCCCUCAGCAGCUGUUUACUUGACUUAAUUUUCAGUUUUGCGUUGUACAGUUUUAAUCAAAGCAGCCGUCUAGUAGAGCAAUUUUUAAUAUGGGCGAGACGCAAGACACAUUUUCUAUUUGUUCUGCUUGGUUUGUUUUUCCCUCAGCAACUGUUUCCUUGACUUAAUUUCCAGUCCAUUCAUUUCCGUUUUGCGUUGUACAAUUUUGACGAAAGCAGCCGUCAGGUAGUGCAUUUUUUUACAUAGACAAGACAUGUUUUCUAUAGCGAUUCUGCUUGAUGUGUUUUUCCCUUGGCAACUGUUUCCUUGACUUAAUUUCCAGGACAUUCAUUUCCGUUUUGCGUUGUACAAUUUUAAUGAAAGCAGCCGUUUGGUAGCGCAUUUUUUUACAUAGACAAGACACGUUUUCUAUUGUGAUUCUGCUUGGUGUGGUUUCCCUUAACAGCUGUAUACUUAAGUUAAUUUCCAGUCCAUUCAUUUCAGUUUUGCUUUGUACAAUUUUAACGAAAGCAGCCGUCUGGUAGUGCGAUUUUUUUUACACAGACAAGACAUAUUUUCUAUAGCGAUUCUGCUUGAUGUGUUUUUCCCUCAGCAGCUGUUUACUUGACUUAAUUUUCAGUUUUGCGUUGUACAGUUUUAAUCAAAGCAGCCGUCUAGUAGAGCAAUUUUUAAUAUGGGCAAGACGCAAGACACAUUUUCUAUUUGUUCUGCUUGGUUUGUUUUUCCCUUAGCAACUGUUUCCUUGACUUAAUUUCCAGUCCAUUCAUUUCAGUUUUGCUUUGUACAAUUUUAAUGAAAGCAGCCGUCUGGUAGCGCAUUUUUUUACAUAGACAAGACACGUUUUCUAUAGUGAUUCUGCAUGGUGUGGUUUCCCUUAGCAGCUGUAUACUUAUGUUAAUUUCCAGUCCAUUCAUUUCAGUUUUGCGUCGUACAAUUUUAACGAAAGCAGCCGUUUGGUAGCGCAUUUUUUUACAUAGACAAGACAUAUUUUCUAUAGCGAUUCUGCUUGAUGUGUUUUUCCAUUAGCAACUAUUUCCUUGACUUAAUUUCCAGUACAUUCAUUUCCGUUUUGCUUCGUACAAUUUUAACGAAAGCAGCCGUCAGGUAGUCCAUUUUUUUUAUAUAGACAAGACACAUUUCCUAUUGAUACUGCAUGGCGUGGUUUUCUUCCUAUACCGUCAACAGUUACUUACGUUGCAGUGUCCUCCUAUCAGUUUCUCCUACAACCAUCUAUUACAUCACUACACACUUUAAUAUGAGUGAUCCAUCUCCCAUAGUCAUGUUAAAAUUCACUACGAGUCAACCUUUUGGGGUCUGGUCACCUUACGCUCAUCUGCUGUUACGUAAAAACCUGAUUACUUGCGUUGUACUGCUUGUGAUCUUCCCAUCUUAUAAGUUUUACCCUACAACCAUUUAUUACAUCACCACACACUUUAAUAUGAGUGAUCCAUCUCCCAUAGUUAGGUUAAAGUUCACUACGAGUCUGGUCACCUUACGCUCAUUUGCCGCUGCGUAGAAAACUGAUUACUUGUGUUGUAUUGCUUGUGAUCUUCUUGGGUUCAUAAGUUUUACCCUACAACCAUCUAUUACAUCUCUACACACUUUAAUAUGGGUGAUCCAUCUCCCAUAGUUAGGUUAAAGUUCACUACGAGUCUGGUCACCUUACGCUCAUUUGCCGCUGCGUAGAAAACUGAUUACUUGUGUUGUAUUGCUUGCGAUCUUCCUGGCUUCAUAAGUUUUACCCUACAACCAUCUAUUACAUCUCUACACACUUUGAUAUGGGUGAUCCAUCUCCCAUAGUUAGGUUAAAGUUCACUACGAGUCUGG